rnacentral:rRNA from 1 species
UACGGAGGGAGCUAGCGUUGUUCGGAAUUACUGGGCGUAAAGCGCACGUAGGCGGCUUUUUAAGUCAGGUGUGAAAUCCCGGGGCUCAACCUCGGAACUGCACUUGAAACUGGGAAGCUAGAAUCUUGGAGAGGGGAGUGGAAUUCCGAGUGUAGAGGUGAAAUUCGUAGAUAUUCGGAAGAACACCAGUGGCGAAGGCGACUCGCUGGACAAGUAUUGACGCUGAGGUGCGAAAGCGUGGGGAGCAAACAGG